CCUACGGGAGGCAGCAGUGGGGAAUAUUGGACAAUGGGGGAAACCCUGAUCCAGCGACGCCGCGUGAGUGAAGAAGUAUUUCGGUACGUAAAGCUCUAUCAGCAGGAAAGAAAAUGACGGUACCUGACUAAGAAGCCCCGGCUAACUACGUGCCAGCAGCCGCGGUAAUACGUAGGGGGCAAGCGUUAUCCGGAUUUACUGGGUGUAAAGGGAGCGUAGACGGCAGCGCAAGUCUGGAGUGAAAUGCCGGGGCGCAACCCCGGAACUGCUCUGGAAACUGUGAAGCUGGAGUGCAGGAGAGGUAAGCGGAAUUCCUGGUGUAGCGGUGAAAUGCGUAGAUAUCAGGAGGAACACCGGCGGCGAAGGCGGCUUACUGGACUGUAACUGACGUUGAGGCUCGAAGGCGUGGGGAGCAAACAGGAUUAGAUACCCGAGUAGUC
rnacentral:rRNA from 1 species